rnacentral:lncRNA from 1 species
GAGAGUUUUCCCCGUACAUCGAGGAAAGACGCGUGACGAGACCAGCGAAGACGGGACGUGCAUGGACGUCACGGCAUUGCCACGUACGUCGACACGAGACGCACUGCUUUUUCCUACUCCCCACUGAUAUCCAAGGAGCCUCUGCUCAGGCGUCGUCAAUGCGUAAUUUGAAAACAGGAACAAUGCGUCAUAUAGAAGUUCUUCCAUACUGUUGCGCCGUCAUCGCCACCGUAGUCGUCUCAUCUGUGACGUCCACAUUGCCUGAAAGGAAGAGCUACCUCUUUCCACAUCAAGACGCUUGGAAGAGCUUCCUUCAGACCUCAGUCUUCGUGCUGUACCAGAGAUCGUUCGAACACGACGUUGUUGUCGGAGGAAAUGGACAGUGCUUCCACGGGAGGAACUACGAGUGGAAUCACGAUGAGAAAUACGCUCUUGCCGAGACAUACUACUGGGACAAUGGGACGGCGAAAGUAGUGAACCGGAC